rnacentral:rRNA from 1 species
UACGGGGGGGGCAAGCGUUGUUCGGAAUUACUGGGCGUAAAGGGCUCGUAGGCGGCCAACUAAGUCAGACGUGAAAUCCCCAGGCUUAACCUGGGAACUGCGUCGGAUACUGGAUGGCUUGAAUCCGGGAGAGGGAUGCGGAAUUCCAGGUGUAGCGGUGAAAUGCGUAGAUAUCUGGAGGAACACCGGUGGCGAAGGCGGCAUCCUGGACCGGCAUUGACGCUGAGGAGCGAAAGCCAGGGGAGCAAACGGG